UACGUAGGGUGCAAGCGUUGUCCGGAAUUAUUGGGCGUAAAGGGCUCGUAGGCGGUCUGUCACGUCGGGAGUGAAAACUCAGGGCUUAACCCUGAGCCUGCUUCCGAUACGGGCAGACUAGAGGUAUGCAGGGGAGAACGAAUUCUGGUGUAGCGGUGAAAUGCGCAGAUAUCAGGAGGAACACCGGUGGCGAAGGCGGUCUCUGGGCCGAUACUGACGCUGAGGAGCGAAAGCGUGGGGAGCGAACAGG
rnacentral:rRNA from 1 species